rnacentral:rRNA from 1 species
UAAGGAAUAUUGGUCAAUGGACGCAAGUCUGAACCAGCCAUGCCGCGUGAAGGAUGAAGGUCCUCUGGAUUGUAAACUUCUUUUAUCUGGGACGAAAACGGGAUUUUUAUCUCAAUUGACGGUACCAGAGGAAUAAGCACCGGCUAACUCCGUGCCAGCAGCCGCGGUAAUACGGAGGGUGCGAGCGUUAUCCGGAUUUACUGGGUUUAAAGGGUGCGUAGGUGGGCUUAUAAGUCAGUGGUGAAAUCUCCGAGCUUAACUUGGAAACUGCCGUUGAUACUAUAGGUCUUGAAUUAUCUGGAGGUAAGCGGAAUAUGUCAUGUAGCGGUGAAAUGCUAGAUAUGACAUAGAACACCAAUUGCGAAGGCAGCUUACUACAUAUAAAUUGACGCUGAGGCACGAAAGCGUGGGGAUCAAACA